rnacentral:lncRNA from 1 species
UGGAGAGUAAGUUUAUGACCUAUUAUGACUAUGUGAUGAAGACUCCAAAAAAGUACAGAGUUCAGACAGCAUUCAGAUUGGAGAACACAUCUAUGCGUGGAGAGAUGAAGCUUCCGGAUUCCAGAAGCUCCGGCACUGAGAACUCUUCCAGACCUUGCCCCAUGUCUCUCUUCAUCUGGCUGUUCAUUUGCAUCCCUUAUCAUAUCCUUUAAUGUAUAAUAAACUGAUUCAUACUGGUGGUUUUCUCCUUACUCAUCAUUGAAUGGGAGAAGUUCUGUCCAGACCUGCUGUCCCUAAAUAAUCCAUAGAGCAUGCUGACUUACCCUGCUUUCUUCCAAAAGAAAACUGAAGCUUGGAUUCCAGAAUGAGAAAAUGAGUUGAACAGAGCCAGAUGAACCCAGCUAGGUCAAGCCAAGCCCACAGAACCCCAGCUGAUCUGCAACAUUCAUGAAACAUUCUGUGGGUCUGCAAUUAGGACAGGGCAAACAGGGAUGGUUUGUCUCUGCUCCAUUCUGUCUGGUACCUCAGUUGGGAAGAUAAGAAGGCUGGGACUGAUGUGAUAGAUGGAGUCUGGAAUCAUCUGGAAGCAUCUUUACUUACAUCUUUGGAGGUUGAUGCCUGUUGUUG